rnacentral:rRNA from 1 species
UUUAAUUCGAAGCAACGCGCAGAACCUUACCAUCCUUUGACAUGGCGUGUUACGUGGAGAGAUCUACGGUCCACUUCGGUGGCGCGCACACAGGUGCUGCAUGGCUGUCGUCAGCUCGUGUCGUGAGACGUUGGGUUAAGUCCCGCAACGAGCGCAACCCACGUCCUUAGUUGCCAUCAUUCAGUUGGGCACUCUAGGGAGACUGCCGGUGAUAAGCCGCGAGGAAGGUGUGGAUGACGUCAAGUCCUCAUGGCCCUUACGGGAUGGGCUACACACGUGCUACAAUGGCGGUGACAGUGGGACGCGAAGGAGCGAUCUGGAGCAAAUCCCCAAAAGCCGUCUCAGUUCGGAUUGCACUCUGCAACUCGAGUGCAUGAAGGCGGAAUCGCUAGUAAUCGUGGAUCAGCAUGCCA